CCCAUUGACUUUAAAGGUGUUUGCAGAGCAAGAAGUUACACGUCUGAAAUACACCACAGAGUGUUUCCAAUGGAGUUGGGAACAGUUUUCGUGUGUCCAGCCGGGAAAAUAAAUAUAAUGCAAAAUGGGCAGAGGUUUCACGCGUUAGGGCGGAAAUGAGUCCAUCAAGAUUCAAUGGCAGGCGAUAGGAAAGAAGCACAGAAGAUACAACGAGGGAAUUCGUCUUCCAGCCAUGAUAGAAAACUGGCACCAUGUUUACGGUCGAGAAAAAGUGAACCUCAAAAUUGGACAAAGCAUAUGUGCCAACUAUUUUUAGUAAUUGAACAACAGCUUUGCUGGACUGUAUUCUUUGGCAAAAGUUAAUUGCAUGAGAUGAACUCCAAGGUCACGCUUCAAUAAACUUGGCAUUCUCUCUGUAAGGCGUUUUGAAUCUGAAAGCAGGAAGAUAAAUCCCAAAUGGAACACCCAACCUCACUGAGCUUAUGAGGCUGCUAAAGCGGAUGGAAUUGGCAGGGCAAAACAUGUAAGAAGAUGGAUCUACACAAAAUGAAAAGAAGAAGAUGAGUGUGUUAACGGACUGCUUUUAUUGAUCCUGUUGAAGCAAGUUGCCUGUUGAAACAAGAUGCCCGUAUGAGCAGCAACUGAAGGUGGCCGCUAUCUGGCAGCCAAGAAGCAGCUGAUGCCUUCAGUCUAAUACUUCUUGAAGAAAUAA